GGCGCACAAAGGUUCCCUCAGCACGGUUGGAAAUCGUGCGUAGAGUGUAAAGGCAGCAAGGGAGCUUGACUGCGAGACCGACAGGUCGAGCAGGUGCGAAAGCAGGUCUUAGUGAUCCGGCGGUAGCAAGUGGAAGUGCCGUCGCUCAACGGAUAAAAGGUACUCCGGGGAUAACAGGCUUAUCGGGCCCAAGAGUCCACAUCGACGGCCCGGUUUGGCACCUCGAUGUCGGCUCGUCGCAUCCUGGGGCUGGAGUAGGUCCCAAGGGUUGGGCUGUUCGCCCAUUAAAGCGGUACGCGAGCUGGGUUCAGAACGUCGUGAGACAGUUCGGUCCCUAUCUGCCGUGGGCGUUGGAGAAUUGAGAGGAUUUGCCCCUAGUACGAGAGGACCGGGGUGAACGCACCUCUGGUGUAGCUGUUGUCCUGCCAAGGGCAUCGCAGCUUAGCUACGUGCGGAUCGGAUAACCGCUGAAGGCAUCUAAGCGGGAAGCCGGCCUCGAGAUGAGUUCUCCCAUCUCCUUGAGAGAGUAAGAGUCCUGGUAGACCACCAGGUUGAUAGGCCAGAUCUGGAAGCGCCGUGAGGUGUGAAGGAGACUGGUACUAAUGACUCGAGGGCUUGACGGA
rnacentral:rRNA from 1 species